rnacentral:lncRNA from 1 species
CAAGGCAGAGAACAAGGGUGAAAACCCUUGUUUAUCAAAUUCAAUCAAUUGGGUAGGAGAUUAGAAGAAAAUCAACUGCAUGAACUCAAAUCUACACUCAUCUAAACUCGAUCUUUUAAAGAGGCGCGAAGGAAGAAGGUUCAAGUACUAGGAAAUCGGAAGGCCCGCAAGAUCGAGGUAAAGCCUCAAUUUAAUCGGUUCGGCGACUUGGA